rnacentral:rRNA from 1 species
UACGUAGGGUCCGAGCGUUGUCCGGAAUUACUGGGCGUAAAGAGCUCGUAGGUGGUUUGUCGCGUUGUUCGUGAAAACUCACAGCUUAACUGUGGGCGUGCGGGCGAUACGGGCAGACUUGAGUACUGCAGGGAGACUGGAAGUUCCUGGUGUAGCGGUGGAAUGCGCAGAUAUCAGGAGGAACACCGGUGGCGAAGGCGGGUCUCUGGGCAGUAACUGACGC